GACGAAUGCUGGCGGCGUGCUUAACACAUGCAAGUCGAACGGAAAGGCCCUGCUUUUGUGGGGUGCUCGAGUGGCGAACGGGUGAGUAACACGUGAGUAACCUGCCCUUGACUUUGGGAUAACUUCAGGAAACUGGGGCUAAUACCGGAUAGGAGCUCCUGCUGCAUGGUGGGGGUUGGAAAGUUUCGGCGGUUGGGGAUGGACUCGCGGCUUAUCAGCUUGUUGGUGGGGUAGUGGCUUACCAAGGCUUUGACGGGUAGCCGGCCUGAGAGGGUGACCGGCCACAUUGGGACUGAGAUACGGCGCAGACUCCUACGGGAGGCAGCAGUGGGGAAUAUUGCACAAUGGGCGGAAGCCUGAUGCAGCAACGCCGCGUGCGGGAUGACGGCCUUCGGGUUGUAAACCGCUUUCGCCUGUGACGAAGCGUGAGUGACGGUAAUGGGUAAAGAGGCACCGGCUAACUACGUG
rnacentral:rRNA from 1 species